UGGGGAAUAUUGCGCAAUGGGGGAAACCCUGACGCAGCGACGCCGCGUGUGGGAUGAAGGUCUUCGGAUUGUAAACCACUGUCGCGAGGGACGAAGCUCUGACGGUACCUCGAAAGGAAGCACCGGCUAACUCUGUGCCAGCAGCCGCGGUAAUACAGAGGGUGCGAGCGUUGUCCGGAAUCACUGGGCGUAAAGGGCGCGUAGGCGGCCCGGUAAGUAGGGGGUGAAAUCUCAUGGCUCAACUGUGAGGCUGCCUUCUAGACUGCCAGGCUUGAGUACCGGAGAGGAUCGCGGAAUUCCCGGUGUAGAGGUGAAAUUCGUAGAUAUCGGGAGGAACACCAGUGGCGAAGGCGGCGAUCUGGACGGAUACUGACGCUGAGGUGCGAAAGCGUGGGGAGCAAACAGGAUUAGAUACCCAUGUAGUCCCUGAGCGGGCUGGCAAGGCGCAU
rnacentral:rRNA from 1 species